rnacentral:misc_RNA from 1 species
UUUCCGUAGGUGAACCUGCGGAAGGAUCAUUAGUGAAAACUGUCAAGUUAACAGCGAUGUUGGCUUGACUAAACUCGCUCCAUAACACCUGUGAACUGUAAGAUGUGGUGAUUUCGAUCCCCGUCUGCCCUAUUUAAACAUUAUUAGUAACAAAAGUAGUAUUAUUAUAAUCUAAUAAAACUUUCAACAACGGAUCUCUUGGCUCUC